rnacentral:ncRNA from 1 species
GGGCAGUAUCUUUGUAGAACUGCACCUGAUGAAUACAAGAAGAUCUUUAUAAAUUUAAUAAUUCUGCCUUGAUCUUAAUCGACAGGGACGGAGG